rnacentral:rRNA from 1 species
AACAAACGCUGGCGGCGUGCCUAACACAUGCAAGUCGUACGAGUAAGGGUCCUUCGGGGCCUGAGUAAAGUGGCGCACGGGUGAGUAACGCGUGGAUAAUCUGCCCUUCAGUUGGGAAUAACUCAUCGAAAGGUGGGCUAAUACCGAAUAAUGCUGUGAGACCUCGGUUGAUCAGCCAAAGAGAGCCUCUGCUUGCAAGCCCUCGCUGAAGGAUGAGUCCGCGUACCAUUAGCUAGUUGGUAGGGUAAUGGCCUACCAAGGCGACGAUGGUUAGCUGGUAUGAGAGGAUGGUCAGCCACACUGGAACUGAGACACGGUCCAGACUCCUACGGGAGGCAGCAGUGAGGAAUCUUGCGCAAUGGGGGCAACCCUGACGCAGCAACGCCGCGUGAGUGAGGAAGGUCUUCGGAUCGUAAAGCUCUGUCGGAUGGAAAGAACCGCAUAGGGGUAAACAGCCCCUGUGUCUGACGGUACCAUCAAAGGAAGCACCGGCUAACUCCGUGCCAGCCGCCGCAGUAAUAC